UUUGUGAAAUUCGUUAAGGUUCGAAUCUCGUGACUACCGUUAAGGUUUGAUUUGGGUUUUACACAAAUACGUAUUCCAUUCUGUUAAACUAUAUGUUUAACUACCGAAAAUACUUCCCACUACACACUCACAAUCAAACAAACUAUUAAAUCAUCAGAAGAUCCAGAAUAAUAAAGUGCAUGCUUAAUUAUCGGAAGAAGUAGAAUCAAGAAGCUUGUUAACUCAAUCUUGCAUGCUUAUAAAAUAAUUACAGUAGAUUGGAGUAAGAAUUGGAUCCAACACUGAAGGACUUCAAGAAGUGGCUUAUU
rnacentral:lncRNA from 1 species